rnacentral:lncRNA from 1 species
UCAGAAUAAACCAUGGGAGGCCGAGAAUGUGUUGUCCCAGCAAGUGACAGCAGUGCAGUAACAUCUGUUGAUCAGCAGGUCAUCCGCAGGCAUCUCAAUCCUCAUCAACUGCCCAGGAAAACGACUGUGACAGGUGCUAAUUGGUGAUUAUAGGAAAGAAUACCUUUGGACUGGAAGAAGUGCUCCAGGUGAAACUAAAAACAGUGUUUUGGAUUUGAGCUGAGAGAGGUGUAUAAUGAGAAGCCAAAUAAAGAUGCCGGCUUUUGUGA